rnacentral:rRNA from 1 species
UACGUAGGCAGCGAGCGUUGUUCGGAGUUACUGGGCGUAAAGCGUGCGUAGGCGGUCGUCCAAGUCUGGUGUGAAAUCUCCCGGCUUAACUGGGAGGGUGCGCCGGAAACUGGGCUGCUGGAGUGCGGGAGAGGUAAGCGGAAUUCCCGGUGUAGCGGUGAAAUGCGUAGAUAUCGGGAGGAACCCCUGCGGUGUAGACGGCUUACGGGACCGCCACUGACGCUAAGGCACGAAAGCGUGGGUAGCAAACAGG